AGUAUUCUUUAUCCAUUUCUAAAUUUUAUUAGGACUUUUACCAAUUAAACAGAAAUGAAUUAAAUAAAUAAUGAAAAUUAAAAAAUAGUUAAAACGAAAAAGGGGUUUAGGGUUACAUGAAUUGUGGCGAUUGGAAUUCUCCUCCCUCUCACGAACACGACGGCGCGAGCCUCUUUCUUCUUCGGCGAGAACUCGUCAACGAUUCAUCACCGUCAACGCCUCAACCCCCGCCUUCAACUCUCAUCGUCCAUUUCGUCUGCCUCCGUUUGAAUCGCCUUUGACGUCUUCUCGAUAUCGCGGCUCACGGUCUGCUUCAACCUUUGACAAGACUUGAUUAUCGGAAGAGAUAAAGAAGACGUAAGCACAGAAGCUUGCCGAGUGGAUACGCUCUGGUGGCGAUUUGGAGCUGCGAAGCGGAAUCCGGAAAUCCUCCGAUCUAGGUAUGCACCAUUCUGUUAAUUUGCUUCUGAUCUUUUCACUUCUCUUCUUCAAAUUCUCUCUGUGAUCUCAUUGUCGACACGGUGUUAUUUGUGAUGAUGAGGUUGGAUUUUCGUUCUUGAAGAUUAUCGAAGAUAUGAUGCUGAAGGUGAUUGGAGAAGAUGAAAGAAUGUGAAUAUGGUGUGGAUUGAGAGAAGGUUGAAUUGAAGGAGAGAGAUUGGAGUGUGUUGUGGAGAUGGUGAUGAUGAAUGAAUCGUGGAAGUGAAGAGAGUGAAUGAUGGUUGCAGAGGUGGUUUUGAAGAUGAUGAAUGAAGAGUGCAGAGAAGAAGCUGAAGAAUGGAAGAGAUUGAAAUGGUGAAUGAAGUAGGAGGUGGAGAAGAUUUGUGGAGAAGUGAUGGAGGUGGAGGGAAAGUGGUGAAGAUCAAUGAAGAAAAAUGGUGGAGAGGAAUGGAAGGAACCGAAUGAUGAAGGGAGCUUUGAAUUUAUAGAAGUGGAGGGAAGAGAAGUUAGUUACAGAGUGAGUUUUUGCUGUUAGAUUGGAGGGGGUUAGUUACAAAAUCGAGGGUGGAGAUUGAAGAUUGAUUUCAGGUAGUUUGAGUCAGUUUGGGAAGUUAGUUACGUGUGGUUGGAUUCUGUUAUAUAGGUUGAAGAUGGAGAACUCAGUUACAACUUGAAGCCUUCUCAACCGUGGGAUCAAAAGUUAGUUAUGUUCAAUGGAUGGAGGAGAUUGAGUCUGAUUGAAAGGUUUGGCAGCUGGUUUGGGCGUGGAGUAGAAGAUGUCGCAGCUGCAUUGAUUGUGUGCAGAGCCGUUGUGCAGAAAUUCGGCGGAGGCAUGAAGAAUGAAUUAUAAUAAAUAGUUCUGUAAUGAUGAAGAAUGAAUAGUAACAUUUCUUGUAAACUUGUGUAAUUUUUGAUGGAAGAUAGAUUGGAUUUUUUGGUAAUAAAUGGACUUGAAUACUUGUGGCAUGCUGUGGCCUUUGUAAUAACAUAACUUCUUUUCUAAUGGAUAAAAUUUGAAUCUCCUUUUUCA